rnacentral:rRNA from 1 species
UGGGGUAAUUUUCCGCAAUGGGCGAAAGCCUGACGGAGCAAUGCCGCGUGGAGGUGGAAGGCCUACGGGUCGUCAACUUCUUUUCUCGGAGAAGAAACAAUGACGGUAUCUGAGGAAUAAGCAUCGGCUAACUCUGUGCCAG